UAAAAUCCUGUAAUCCUAGAAGGACCACCGGUGGCGAAGGCGUCUUGCUAGAACGGAUCCGACGGUGAGGGACGAAGCCCUGGGUCGCAAACGGGAUUAGAUACCCCGGUAGUCCAGGGUGUAAACGCUGCAGACUUGGUGUUGGAGGCCCUUCGGGGGCAUUCAGUGCCGGAGAGAAGUUGUUAAGUCUGCUACUUGGGGAGUACGUCCGCAAGGAUGAAACUUAAAGGAAUUGGCGGGGGAGCACCGCAACGGGAGGAGCGUGCGGUUUAAUUGGAUUCAACACCGGAAAACUCACCAAGGGCGACUGUUACAUGAAAGCCAGGCUAAUGACCUUGCUAGAUUUUCAGAGAGGUGGUGCAUGGCCGUCGUCAGUUCGUACCGUAAGGCGUUCUCUUAAGUGAGAUAACGAACGAGACCCUCACUGAUAAUUGCUACUCCAUCCUCCGGGGUGGAGGCACAUUAUUGGGACCGCUGGCGCUAAGUCAGAGGAAGGAGAGGUCAACGGUAGGUCAGUAUGCCCCGAAUCUCUUGGGCUACACGCGCGCUACAAAGGGCGGGACAAUGGGCUCCGACGCCGAAAGGCGAAGGUAAUCUCGAAACCCGUCCAUAGUUCGGAUUGAGGGUUGUAACUCACCCUCAUGAAGCUGGAUUCCGUAGUAAUCGCGAAUCAACAACUCGCGGUGAAUAUGCCCCUGCUCCUUGCACACACCGCCCGUCACGCCACCCAAAAAGGGAUUGGAUGAGGAUGUAAUGUUUUGUUAUAUUCGAAUCUAGUUUUUUUAAGGAGGGCGAAGUCGUAACAAGGUAGCC
rnacentral:rRNA from 1 species